rnacentral:rRNA from 1 species
UCAUUGGACACCGUACUAAUCAAGAGUUAAUCGGGCGUAACCCCUAUUCUGAAGGGAAUUUUUUUUGGAUAAAGCCCCGGGGGGCACCCCCACCCUGUUGAAAUAAAUAUAUUCACGAAUGGCACGGCCUUGUGCCGGCGAGGUUUCACUCAAAUAUAUGCCCGUGUUAACUUUCGGUGGUUAGAUAGAGGCCUACCCUGGUUGUGCCGGGUGAAGGUGGAUUAGGGUUUGAUUCCGGAGAGGGAGCUUUAGAAACGGGUUCCACAUCCAAGGAAGGCCGCCGGCGCGCAAAAUACCCCAUCCCGAUUCGGGGAGGUAGAGGCAAUAAAUAACAAUUCCGGGCCUUUAACGUUCGGUAAUUGGAAUGAGUACAAUUUAAAUUUCCUAACGAGGAUCCCUUGGAGGGCAAGUUUGGUGCCAGCAGCCGCGGUAAUUCCAGAUCCAAUAGAGUAUAUAUAAGCGGUUGCAGUUAAAAGACUCUUAUUCGAACUUCGGGCGCGGCGCGACGGUCCGCCUCUGGUGUGCACUGUCGUCGCCGCGCCUUUCUGUCGGGGACGGGCUCCUGGGCUUCACUGUCCGGGACCCGGGCUCGGCGAGGUUACUUUGAGUAAAUUAGAGUGUUCAAAGCAGGCGAUCGCCCUGAAUACAUUAGCAUGGAAUAGCACGAUAGGACUCUGGCCUAUCUUGCUGGUCUGUAGGACCGGAGUAAUGAUUAAGAGGGACAGUCGGGGGCAUUCGUAUUUCUGGGCCAGAGGUGAAAUUCUUGGACUCCAGAAAGACGCUCUACUGCG